CACGGCCUAACACAUGCAAGUCGAACGAAGGCUUCGGCCUUAGUGGCGCACGGGUGCGUAACGCGUGGGAAUCUGCCCUUGGGUUCGGAAUAACAGCUAGAAAUGGCUGCUAAUACCGGAUGAUGACGUAAGUCCAAAGAUUUAUCGCCCAAGGAUGAGCCCGCGUAGGAUUAGCUAGUUGGUGAGGUAAAGGCUCACCAAGGCGACGAUCCUUAGCUGGUCUGAGAGGAUGAUCAGCCACACUGGGACUGAGACACGGCCCAGACUCCUACGGGAGGCAGCAGUGGGGAAUAUUGGACAAUGGGCGAAAGCCUGAUCCAGCAAUGCCGCGUGAGUGAUGAAGGCCUUAGGGUUGUAAAGCUCUUUUACCCGGGAUGAUAAUGACAGUACCGGGAGAAUAAGCUCCGGCUAACUCCGUGCCAGCAGCCGCGGUAAU
rnacentral:rRNA from 1 species